UCAAAGUCACGGUAUUGGUAUCAGCAUCGCUUUUUUUUUUUUUUUAAAUGAUAACCAGCCCAAAUUGCUUAUCCUGUGAACUCUACUGAUGUUCAAUAAAUACCCCAACGUAAGGACAAACAAAACCCCAAAAGAAAAGUCAAUUAGCUAUUCAAACCUCCCAAGAAAACUUAACUCAAUGCCUACUCAUAGAAAAACACAAGGGAAAAUGUAUUUUCCUUUGGAGGUCAGUGUGAUAUUAUGACCUUGGUGUGCACAGUUCAAGAUUGGUUUCAAAUUAAUUGCAGUCGCCAUUGACAUCAGUGGUGUGUGGGAAUUAUUCUGUUACUUUCAUACUUGCUCAUUUGCAUGU